GUGCUUCCUUUUAUAUGCAUGUUUAGCAGCUAGUGGGUACCAAACCUCACACAGCUCUCAAUUGCUAGCACUAAUGAAGGAUCUGUUUGCCUUUGGGGAUAAAGAUGGUAUCACUGAUUCACAGUUGUUUUUCCAGGAGUGAAGAACAGAUUUUACUUCCUCAUCCAUACUCUCUUGCCUGGCCCUUUCUCAUCCCUACUACCACUACCCUAAUUCAGGCCUCAUUGUUUCCUGCCAGGACAGUUCACCUGCCUCCAACUGGCCUCCUUGCUUUUGGUUCUGGCCCUGCCUGGUUCAAGAUCACAUUGCCAGAGGGAUCUUCAUAAGCACAGAUUUGCUGUAUCACUUCCAGCUUAAAAUCCGUCAGUGACUCCUGUUAGUGCCAGUGUGGAAUCCAAACUUCUUCGCAUGUCCAGUUUGAUGGUGGCCGUGUAGGGGUCUGAUGCUCAGUAACGUGAGGUGCACCUGCAGCAAGAGGUGGUGGAGAGGGUAUCUGAGAAGAGAAACAGAAGAUCAAACUUAAAGUCACAGCAAGUAGGUGGCAGAGUGAAGAGCAGAUCCAGCAGAUUCUCUGAACUCCCGGAAAGCCAGCCGCCACAUCAAAAAGACACUCAGACAGCCUAUGGAGAGGAUUGGGGGUCUCGCUCCAAAGUCCAGCAUCCAGUGAAGAACUGAGGCCUGCUGCCAACCACAAGAGAGAGUCUAGAAGAGGAUUCCAGCCCCAGGUAAGUCUUGAGAUGACUGCAGCCCUGAUGGCCUGACUGCAUUUUUGUGAGUGACUUUGAGUCAGAAUCUCACAGGUAAGCUGUUUCCAUGCCCCUGACUCUGAACCUGUAUGAGAGUAUAAAUGUUUGCUGUUAUAAGCUGCUAAGUUUUGGGGUAGUUUAUUCUCCAUAAAUAGAUAACCAAUACACUUCCCUAUUUUCAAAAUGUUGGGAACCAGUGAUCAAGCGUACUUUUACAUAUAUCCUUCAGGCCUUACAAGACAAGUUUUAAAUGUUUUAUUACUGAGGAAAUUAAACAGUAUUCAUUGAUGGAGAAAACACAAUAUUUGGAGCCAGAAGGUAGGUGUAAGUUUCCCCUUAUUAGCUGUGAAAACCUGAAAAUCACUUUGCUUCUUUGAGCUUCUCUUUCUUCUUAGAGAAAAUGCAGAUUCCUACAAUGCCUGCUCUGUCUUAAUGUUUAUGGUAAGUAUUAGAUUGUGAAUACAGUUGAUGAACCCUCAAGUCCUAUCAAAAUGCUAGUUUUUAUUGAUGAUAGAGUUAGUCAUCUUUCAAUGAGGAUAAUCUGACCAAGUUUACAUAGCUAGUUGGUUGCAGAACAAAAACUUAUACCAAAGUCUUCUAAUGCUAAGGCUUCUAUAACUUGAGCAAGUCACUUUUACUAUAUGAGCCUCAGUUUCCCCAUAAGUGAAAUGAAAUAGAUUAGACCAGGUAAUGCAGGAUCUCUUUUAGCUCUGAAUAGGCUGUGAUCAGAACCCAAGGCAAGGAUUCUUGUAUAGGUGACUGAGUUCCUAUAAAGGCUGGGUAGGGUGUGUAUCUGACAUCCCUGGGAUUUCAGAGCCCUAUCAGCAUGAGUGCUGAUACUGGGGGAGGCUUUGUGAUGUGCUCUUUGUAGGUGGCGGCCUUGGUGCCACACAGAGGCUGCCGGUGCCACUGCCUGGGACAAUGGAGUUCACUCCUCUGCUGGUGCUGCCCGCCCCCACACAAGCCCCUGAAACAGCAUCCUAUCAUUUGUCACUUCAAACCGCAUACACCCUGGAUUUGUGCUCGUGCCAGAGGAAUUCAUAAUGAAUUCAGUUCCCAUUCAUGCAGGAAAGAAACUGAGAAACUAAACCUCAGGGAAGUCAGGUCAUUAGUGGCAGAACCACCUCUUGAACUCUGGUUACCAUUUGCAAAAGCCUUUUCUUGUUCCACCAGACGACGUGGGCUCUUGUUGUUGUAGGAUUUCCUGUUUGCAAGAAAAAUUUGGCUGACCCUUGUUUUAUAAGGCUCAAAGUGCUCAGACAACACUAUAGGGUAAGUGGGUAAGUGGUAUUACUCUUUUCUGCAGGUGAGAAAAGAGAAGCCCCAGAGAGAAAAAGUGAAGUUAAUGUCACAUAGUUUAAAAAAUGAACAAACAAGAAAAUACCAGAGUUUGCUCUGGAACCUAAACUUGUUAUUAACUGCAUCUGACAUUCUCUUAAUCCAUGAUUAUAAAUCCCUACCCAAGUUUUUAGACUUUGGUAAAAUGGUUGACAAAUGUGAGAUCAAGUUGUGUCAAAGAGAUGAGCAACUAGGGGAAAAAGCCAGAGUGAAGGAGCAUAGGUUAUAAAUGCAAGAACCAAAACACUGGGUGUCUUCACCACCAGAGCAGAAAUUCUAGCACUGUCAAGAUCUCCAAGAGGAGAUGUGAGCAUAAGAGAAACAUAAGAGAAAUCUGCCAGCCUCACCAGUGAUUAAAGAAGGGCAAAUUUUUUUCAAAAUGAGAUAUCACUUAUACAUUCUAAAUUAGCAAAAAUGUUAAAUAAUCAUGACACCCAAUAUAGGUGGCAUUGUGAUGAAACCGAAAUACUUAUAUAUUGCUCAUGGCAACAUAAAUUAGUUAAAAAUACCCCCACUAACUUUAA